GUUUUCCUCAGAUUCAUCUGACAAGCUGAUACCUGAAGUUAUUCCACUGUAAAGGAAAAUCUAAAAAUUUCAGGACCCGCAGACUCUUUAUGCAAAAAGGAAGCUGGGAGGCUGAGUCAGACAACACCUUCUUCCAAGUGAAUAGCUGUUGCUGGCAUUAUGUAUUAGCGGGAUCCCCACGGAAAGUUUUGCCAGGACGAUUAAAUAUCAUUGAUGCUUCUGGUCUACAAUUAGUCAGAGAAGAGAUAAAAAAAAUGAUGAGUAUUCAAGAAGGAAAGUGUUUGCUUUAACAUAUGAAGAAAAGGAGCUUCAAAGUGGUGAUUAACCCCAGAAUUGUGUGGAACGGAUAUGGAAACAAGACCACAGGAGCAUCGAGAACUGAGCAGAACUGAAGGUGACAUGAAAAUCAGCUGCAAGAUUCACCUCAGGGUGAUAAUGGGCUGCAGGUGGCUGCAGGAAUCCCGGGACAUUCUAGGCACUGCCAUAUUUUCUUAGGGGCCAGUAAGGAUGGCUAUCAUCAGAUGUACCUGAUGAUACAAACAUGGGCUGUCUUGCCUUCUAGUAUUCAUUCUUGGUGAUUGCAUCCAGAGCUCACUUUGGAGGUGCAGAUCAACUCUUCUUCAGGCUCAUCCAUGCGACUUGAGCAGGCUCUCAUCCCCAUUCCCAGGGGCUUAUGACAAUCAAGGUUUCUACUCCUCCAUGGUCUCAGUGGUUUUUCUCCCCAUGGGAAGCACAUAAUCCCAUUAGAGGCCACGGGAAGCUUUUUUGUUGGGCUUUGAGGGAAAAAAGGCUUUUGCAGCCAAUGAAUCGAUCAAUGUGUACUUCAACCUGGAUUGUAUGUAUGCAUCUCCUAGAUUGGGCGGAUGAUGAAGUGAGGCUGGAAGUGCUGAGCAUCUUCCUACCUGGGAUGACUGGGCUGAGCAGGAAGCCUACCCCGGGGUUCCAGCCAAGUUGGAGCCUGUGGGUGUGUGGUGUAGUUUAACGCCCUGAUUAAAUCACUAGGAAGCCUGUUCUCUGUCUCCUCCCAGACCAGAUCAGACAAUAUGUUCCCUUAUUUCUACUAAAGCCCCAAUUGGAUUUUGUGUCUUUUGAUACUGAAAGAAUCUUACCACAAAUAAAAUAAUUUGUCAUGUGGCUCCUACAUAUUUAUUCAGUUACAUAAACUAACUAAAUAAAU
rnacentral:lncRNA from 1 species